rnacentral:misc_RNA from 1 species
ACGAGUUUUAAUUGUUAAGGUUAGGAGUUGAGCUGGUUAAUCUAAUUAAUAUGUGCUUACUCUAAUCGAAACAAGUCCACUCAUUACCUUAACACCUUGUGAACUUAUUUCAUUACAAACUUAUUAUUUGUUAUUGGAAACGUUUGAUUAUUAAAAAGUUAAUA